rnacentral:lncRNA from 1 species
GCACAGAGACUAAGAAAGCUGAAAAAGGUGUUGUGGAUGAAAUAUAAGGGUAGUUGACUAAAGUGAUAAAGUAGUUGACUAAAGUGUUAAAGGUGUUGUGUGGUGGGUCCAUUAGUGAUAAAGUGUAAUAAAUAUAGAAUAUAAAAAUGAUAAAGUUGUUGUAAGGUGGGUCCAUUAGUGGCAAAGGGUAGUAAAUAUAGGAAAAGAAGAAGAGUAAAAAGGUACAUAAAGCACAAUAGGGCUUUAAUUGGUGGACAAAAAUUU